AGUUGCAGGCCAAAUGUACAUUCAUGUUGCCCGAUAUAUCAACCAAGAAAACCUUCAGCUCUUCCUGGGUUCCUAUAAUGGACACAGAGACCCAGAGAUCAAAAGACCCACACAAGGUCAAAAUGAUAACAGAUGAAAAACAUUAAAGUGUUCUACUUUACAAGUGAUAGGAGACAAUUCACCUGCUGUCAAGGAUGUUGUCAAGGUUGAAAGCAAUUCUCAUCCCAAGCCAAUAAGUACAAAGUUGCUAAAGCUGGCAGACUUGUGGGACUGCCCCAUGUGGUUCAGGCUGGGAAGCUCACAGAGGCCUUCAAGUACUUUUUGCAGGGAAUGGACUCCAGACCAUCUACUAGCAUGACCCGGCUCACCUAAUACUGAUUCUACUGAACCUGGAGGGAGCUCUGGAGAAAGUCCCUUCAGCCAGUGUGUC
rnacentral:lncRNA from 1 species